rnacentral:lncRNA from 1 species
AGAACUGCUCAUACAGGUGAAGCUUGAUAUUUAGAAGCGUAUGUAUGACAUGUGGAAAGCUAUGUUUUUGCACUGCAACGCAAUUAAUAAGUCAAUACUGCCCCAGGGAAUAAUGGUCAUUUUAUUCUCUGUAUCUUUCUUUUCCCCCUCGCACAUCCCCUUUUUGUGGUCUCAUGUUGGGUGGGUUGGGGAGAUUGAAGUACUUGUGUAUGUAUGACAUGUGAAAAGCUAUGUUUUUGCACUGCAACGCAAUUAAUAAGUCAAUAGUCAAUUACUGCCCCGAGAAAUGAUGGCCAUUUUAUUCUCUGUAUCUUUCUUUUCCCCCUCGCACAUCCCCUUUUUGUGGUCUCAUGUUGGGAGGGUUGGGGAGAUUGAAGCACUUGAGGCUGUAUGGAAAAGUAAUUCCUCUUAGAAAAAUAAAUGAAACCAUGGAUUCUGCUGGUGAGCACCUUCUGAACUACUAAGCAUAACAAUUGGAAUCUGGAAUUUUCUCUUUUCCAUAUUGUUGUUAAUCUAGAGAUUUUUCAAACCGCUUUUAGUUAGGUUAUCACAUGCUCUGUCAAAUUUGGAUGGUGUGCUGUAGUCCAGUCCGUGAGAAGUACAUUGAGUGACUAUGGUAACCAUUGGAACUUAAAGAAAGGUCACUUGACGCUGGAGAGGAUUUUAAAC